rnacentral:lncRNA from 1 species
CAGGACAGGAUUUGAAAGGAUUAAUGCAUCUGAGAGCUUACAGAUGAAUACUGGGAACAGCUGGACAAGAUAACAGGCAGAAUGAAAACUAGGAAUUUCACAGUCCAGGAAAGAGUACACAAACAGAUGAGUACACAUGUACUCUGCACUGGAUGGAGGAAGCAGGCUGGAGGAGGAAAAGAGGAAAGAUCUCUUUGUGAAGAGGUGGGGGUGAUAACUGCUCACAAUUUAUUCAAGACUCCAUCUCCAAAGCCCUGCCAACUCACAAGAGAGUCAAAGAGUGAGACCACUAGAAGGAUGCUGGAAAACAGAGGUGCGGGAACACUGGCCACAGUGAAAUGAAUUGUUGUAUAAUACAAGUUAAAAGCAACUAGGUGGUGUGCUUCUUGAAAUUUAGAUCAUGGAGAAAACAAAGGGCAAACAAAUGGCCAUAAAUGCUAUAUUGGACCUCCAGGUAUGGCAAUGUUUAUGAACAUUUAUGGUAACAUUUCUUAUGCAUCUUAUCAUCAUCUGCAGUCCUCGACAACAAUCUGCUUGACUUUCCCUGUCUUGUUGUUCUCUG